AUUGAACGCUGGCGGCAUGCCUUACACAUGCAAGUCGAACGGCAGCAUGAUCUAGCUUGCUAGAUUGAUGGCGAGUGGCGAACGGGUGAGUAAUACAUCGGAACGUGCCCUGUAGUGGGGGAUAACUAGUCGGAAGAUUAGCUAAUACCGCCUACGACCUGAGGGUGAAAGUGGGGGACCGCAAGGCCUCAUGCUAUAGGAGCGGCCGAUGUCUGAUUAGCUAGUUGGUGAGGUAAAGGCUCACCAAGGCGACGAUCAGUAGCUGGUCUGAGAGGACGAUCAGCCACACUGGGACUGAGACACGGCCCAGACUCCUACGGGAGGCAGCAGUGGGGAAUUUUGGACAAUGGGGGCAACCCUGAUCCAGCAAUGCCGCGUGUGUGAAGAAGGCCUUCGGGUUGUAAAGCACUUUUGUCCGGAAAGAAAUCGCACUUACUAAUAUUAGGUGUGGAUGACGGUACCGGAAGAAUAAGGACCGGCUAACUACGUGCCAGCCGCCGCAGUAAAAC
rnacentral:rRNA from 1 species